UACGUAGGGUGCAAGCGUUGUCCGGAAUUAUUGGGCGUAAAAGAGCUCGUAGGCGGUUUUGUUGCGUCGGCUGUGAAAUCCCGAGGCUCAACCUCGGGUCUGCAGUCGAUACGAGCAAACUAGAGUGUUGCAGGGGAGACUGGAAUUCCUGGUGUAGCGGUGAAAUGCGCAGAUAUCAGGAGGAACACCGGUGGCGAAGGCGGGUCUCUGGGCAACAACUGACGCUGGAGGAGCGAAAGCGUGGGGAGCGAACAGG
rnacentral:rRNA from 1 species